AAAAAAAAAAAUCAUUUUCAACUAAAAAGUAACAAAAACUCUAAGUUGCUUUAUUUUUACAUGAUAAUCGCAAAUGCCUUUAUUUAAAACAAUAAAUCAACCUACAUUAAUGCGGUUGAAUAAAAAAUCAACAGAAGAGAACAAGAAAACAGGCUGCAAUAACAAAACCAAAAAAACUUAUUUGAAGCAAUAUCACUUGGAGCGAGGGGGUUGCAGAGUUAUAGAGUAAAGAGAGAAGAAAAACAAUCCCGCUAGGUAGCUCGAAUCCAUGUGGCUUGAAUGGCCCAAUUUCUUUGUACAACCCCAUUUCUUUGUACAGCCCAUCUCUGUUCACCCACACAUUUCAUUCCAAACAUAAAAAAAAAAAUAAAAAAAUAAAAAAAAAAACAGAACAGAGUGGAGAGAGAGGAGACCGACUCGAUAACCUAGCUGUGUGCCGCUGACCAGGCUGCUUUUGCUGCUGUGUGUGCCGCAAGGGUGCUGCCGCUGCUGCUGAUGGGUGUGAUUGCAAGUAAUGGAUUGAUUUUUAGUUAACAAGCUUUGUAUGAUCUGAAAUUAGUUGGUUUUGUUUUUAAUUUAGGUUUCACAUUGGGUGAUUAAGAAUUAGUGUUUUGAUUUGAUUGACUCUUUCUGUGUGGUAGCUCAGAAAAAAAUUAACUCUUUCUCUAUCUUCUUUGGCAUCUCUCUUCAUGCAUCUCCUUGUUCUUUUUUUCUUUUUUUUUUUUAAUAUUUAUUUUUGGCUAAUUAGCCCUAAUUUUGGUUCUUCAUCUAUGUUUCAACACUUCAACUGGUUUAGUUCCCUAUGUCAUCUCUUGUUAUAGUGCUAAUUAUGCUGAACUUCUUGUUGCAAAAUGCUGAUUAUGAUAAUUUUCUGUUGCUAUAGUGCUAAUUUUCAGUCUCAAAUAGAAGUGUAAAAAUAAACUUGUAAAGAAAUGAAGAAUUAUAGAAAAAUUGUGAAACUUAAAUUGAGUUUCUUUGUGUUGUUCUUGUUGUUUUGAA